UGCGCUGACAAUCCGUCAGGGCCUCUGCCCUUGUCGGGUGUGGGGUGAUGGCGUGCCUUUUGAAGAAUGAGCCUGCGAGUCACUGACAUUUCGCGAGGUUAACCCGUGGUGGGGAGCCGUAGCGAAAGCGAGUCUGAAUAGGGCGUAUCCAAUCCGUAGGGGUUGGUGUAGUGGCGUGUUGUGGACCCGAAGCGGGGUGAUCUACCCAUGGCCAGGGUGAAGCGCGGGUAAGACCGCGUGGAGG
rnacentral:rRNA from 1 species